rnacentral:rRNA from 1 species
GAGUUUGAUCGUGGCUCAGAUUGAACGCUGGCGGCAUGCCUUACACAUACAAGUCGAACGGCAGCAUGAUCUAGCUUGCUAGAUUGAUGGCGAGUGGCGAACGGGUGAGUAAUACAUCGGAACGUGCCCUGUAGUGGGGGAUAACUAGUCGAAAGAUUAGCUAAUACCGCAUACGACCUGAGGGUGAAAGUGGGGGACCGCAAGGCCUCAUGCUAUAGGAGCGGCCGAUGUCUGAUUAGCUAGUUGGUGGGGUAAAAGCCCACCAAGGCGACGAUCAGUAGCUGGUCUGAGAGGACGAUCAGCCACACUGGGACUGAGACACAGCCCAGACUCCUACGGGAGGCAGCAGUGGGGAAUUUUGGACAAUGGGCGAAAGCCUGAUCCAGCAAUGCCGCGUGUGUGAAGAAGGCCUCGG